GCUCACAGGUUCAUGUUAGUACUGGAAAUAAAAGGAAAAAAAAGAAGUUAAAGACAGGUCUCAAAUCCUUUGGGAAUAAAAUAUUGCAGAAGAGCAUCCAAGUGCUCACAGAUCUCCAAAAGUUCAGAGAAUGGAUCCCCAGAUUCUUCUGUAACUGAAGGAGUAGAGAUGAGCACUCCAAGGAUGGACAGGCUGAAUUUUACAACCCACCUACCAUGCAAUCCCCAGCACUACCUGCUUCCCUGAAAAUGGUCUUUGAAGGAAUAAUGCCAUGAAAAGAGUGGGAAGGAAUAGUGCCAUGGAAAGGGUGGGACAUCUGCUGCUGGUGGAGCCAUUUCAUCCUUCUCUAUGGGACAAUCCACACUAUGGAAUCACCCCUUCAUUGGAAAGAGUAGCAGAGAAAUCUCAUUUUGGGUGGAAACACCUUCUCGUGUGUAAGACAUCGUACUGUUUUGUCAAGAUUUUGCUGCCCAUCAGUGAUGACCAAGGAGGACAAAGAACAGAUCUCAGAUCUCUGCUCCAACCUAAUCUCCUCCGUAUUACCUGGAAUCCCGGACAAAUGCGCUGUUAUGUGAAAACAAAAUAAACAUCCUGAGAGAGUCGGAUUAUCUGAGUGAGAUGAGAUCAGGGCAGAGCAUUCAAAAUACUCCACUGUUAUCUGAGCACUUGGCGUUUUGCUUGUUGCAGAACCAACAGGAAUUACUUGGCUCUCACAAGCUGCACUGGCAUUCAACAUUUUGACAACGAGGAUCUCAAAAAGCAGCAAAAUCUGUUGCGAAGGAGGGAAGCUCUGAAGUGGCCCAACAAAAUGGGACAAGCUGCCUGUUCAAUAAUCAGAGACUGGUUGGACUCUUCAGCUUUGGCUACACUGAAAGCUACGGCCAAAGCUUUGUGUAGAAUCAAACCUUGGAGCCUCAUAGCUCAGCUGAAUGUUUCAGUUGCCAUCAACGACAGCUGCCACCAGUGACUUUUCUUCUUCAUCAUUUCAUCUUUCUCACUGUGUCUGUGCAUACAUGUACAGAGACAACAUGAAGGAGAUGCAGCAACGGGACACCCUACAUGCACCUUUGUGCACAUGCUAUGGGCAAGGCACACCAACCACUCAUUGGUGGCAUACACAGACCCACAAAGGAUUUAUUUCACAACUUGGCUGCUCCCAAAUACAGCUCAGGUUUAGGAGUUUUGAAUAUGCAUCACGGUAUAAUGCCAUUACACAAAGCAUUCUUUUUUUUCAUGUGCUAAAUCUGCACCAAUCUUGUUGGAGUUAAGGGGAAUUAAAUAUGUGCUCCUGUAAGGAGUCUCCCACCUACAUCCCAGAUACACCCAACCUCCUGCCUACAGCUUACUUAGAGUUUUCCAGUAGUAGAAAUGAAGCAUUAAAACAAACAAACGAAAAAAACACACACACAAAAGAUUAAUUUUAUGACUCAAUAGUUUGAACUACAGCUUAUAGCAAAUUCAAGUUAUUUCAAGCACAGGGCAUAAGUAUAACUUUACUGGGAUUUAUAUGCAGAAAGGCCCUGAAUGAUACGUCCCUUAUUUUUUCAGCUUUGGAUGCUAUGGUGACAAGAAAGAAAACAUUUUCUUGUUUGUAUGUGCACAUGUGAGCAUGUCUAAUUAAUUAUGCACUCUUGCUUCAUGUAUAUGUGUUUGUGUAUAUGGGUAUACAUAUGUAUAUGUCUAUAUAUAGUGUAAUGAACCAUCUUUAGGAUAUUUAAAAAAUCAGCAGUUCAUAUCCAUGCU
rnacentral:lncRNA from 7 species